rnacentral:rRNA from 1 species
UACGAAGGGGGCUAGCGUUGUUCGGAAUUACUGGGCGUAAAGCGCACGUAGGCGGAUAUUAAGUCAGGGGUGAAAUCCCAGAGCUCAACUCUGGAACUGCCUUUGAUACUGGGUAUCUUGAGUAUGGAAGAGGUAAGUGGAAUUGCGAGUGUAGAGGUGAAAUUCGUAGAUAUUCGCAGGAACACCAGUGGCGAAGGCGGCUUACUGGUCCAUAACUGACGACUGAG